CCUACGGAUGGCAGCAGUGGGGAAUAUUGCACAAUGGGGGAAACCCUGAUGCAGCGACGCCGCGUGAGUGAAGAAGUAUUUCGGUAUGUAAAGCUCUAUCAGCAGGGAAGAAAAUGACAGCACCUGACCAUGAAGCCCAGGCUAACUACGUGCCAGCAGCCGCGGUAAUACGUAGGGGGCAAGCGUUAUCCGGAUUUACUGGGUGUAAAGGGAGCGUAGACGGUUAUGUAAGUCUGGAGUGAAAGUCCGGGGCCCAACCCCGGAACUGCCUUGGAAACUGUGUAACUGGAGUACAGGAGGGGCAGGCGGAAUUCCUGGUGUAGCGGUGAAAUGCGUAGAUAUCAGGAGGAACACCGGCGGCGAAGGCGGCCUACUGGACUGAAACUGACGUUGAGGCUCGAAAGCGUGGGGAGCAAACAGGAUUAGAUACCCCAGUAGUC
rnacentral:rRNA from 1 species